rnacentral:rRNA from 1 species
AUUGAACGCUGGCGGCAUGCUUUACACAUGCAAGUCGAACGGUAACAGGCCUUCGGGUGCUGACGAGUGGCGAACGGGUGAGUAAUGCAUCGGAACGUACCCAGAGGUGGGGGAUAACGCAGCGAAAGCUGUGCUAAUACCGCAUGUGAUCUGAGGAUGAAAGCGGGGGACCGAGCAGCAAUGUUUGGCCUCGCGCCUUUGGAGCGGCCGAUGUCGGAUUAGCUAGUUGGUGGGGUAAAGGCCUACCAAGGCGACGAUCCGUAGCUGGUCUGAGAGGACGACAAGCCACACUGGGACUGAGACACGGCCCAGACUCCUACGGGAGGCAGCAGUGGGGAAUUUUGGACAAUGGGCGCGAGCCUGAUCCAGCAAUGCCGCGUGCGGGAAGAAGGCCUUCGGGUUGUAAACCGCUUUUGGCAGGAACGAAACGGUGUCCGCUAAUACCGGGCGCUAAUGACGGUACCUGCAGAAUAAGCACCGGCUAACUACGUG